UGUUCAAUUGUUAUCAAACAUACUCGUGAAAGAAAGGAGACCGAGCAUAUCCCGAACUCUGUUUUUAAAACAUACCUUUGGCGCCAAUCAAGGAUAACUAACAUUGGCCAAAGCUGGAAUGAAAAACAAAAAUAUUUAUGCAUUUCACAGAAGAAAAUAUGAGGGAGUCGGGUAUUUUUACCAGCAUCCGACAAUAUCAUGGACGACGGCACAUUCCGAACCAGCGCGGUCGUGCGCCAACGAGAGCUGUUUUCUAGAAUUCCUUGCAGAAGAUCUGUAGAAUCCGAAGGAUACACAUACAUGCCAACCGCAGCAUUCCGCCCCUAGCUAUCUGCACCCAGUUGAGAAAUCGAGACAAUUAUUUGUGCCUUUGGCAGAACCUCAGCAUAUGUCUGCGUUGUUUGCAUAACAAUGGACUGGGGUUUUGCUUCCAAUGACCAUGGCGAAACGGAUGAAUCCGUACCGUUCAAAUUUAUCGACCUACGGCAUGCAAAUGGAAAGGCCAGAGCGUCAUCCGGGAAUUACUGACUGCACCUAUAUUUUCAUACCAUUCUAUCCAUCUGCACACUUACCAUGAUAUCACAUUAACUAGCAAACAACCAACUCUAGAAAAUCUUAUGUCAGUUUACCCAUAAGUAGUGUAUAAUGCACUAUCAACAACGCAAAUGCCUAUCCCAAAUAAAAUGCAUCAGACCAAAUGAUACACCAAUUACCAGGACAUUCCCUUUGGUAACAAGGCUUGACUGGUACCUUUGCAGAACAAUGCCUCGAUGUUUCUAGUGGGCUAAAGCAAGAUGGAAGUAUCUUUUGGAGAAGAAUCACCAUAAUUUGAUGACCUAGGAUGGACGACUCAGGAUAACUCGCUCAACAGCGUACAUUAUCAUGUUGAAAAUUUUCACAAGAGCGACCGUGGUGUAUCUUAUGAUUUCUCAUCGCAAAAUACACAUUCCAUGCUUACCCCUAAUUGUGCUCUAGGUCUUUUAAUUCUAUUGUGGUAUCAUCCCAGUUCAAUUUGAAAGCCUACAUUUUGCCCGUGGCCCAAUCGAACGCUUCAUGGAUUUUCUAUCCUGACUACAUUUUACCCUCAGCAGAAAGGAUAUGGCGAUACAUCAUUCGAUAAUCCUGAACUAACCAUACAGGGCAACGUGCAACAUGCACCAUGCAGCCUUCCAAGCUUUGCGAGACGCGGAGCAAGCAAGAAAAAAGCAGACUCGGCCUCAUGCAAGAGACCUCCACCCCC
rnacentral:sRNA from 1 species